UGCCACGCCCCUAUAAUGUGCCUUUAAAAGCCCAAGACCGUCGCUAGGCACAGACGGAAGUGACUGGAUGUGGAGAGGAGUGUAUCCGCGAAGGAACGCACAAGUGGCCUGACCUGCAGAAGAACGCUAGCUAGGCACUAGGCAUGCCGGCAAGGUCAGCUGAGAGCUGACCCCAGUGCAACGUGGAGGAGUUUGGUUGGGGCAGUCGGAGGAGCACCUGGGCCGCCAAGCGGCCAGACUUCGGGGGAAAGCCAUCUCUCUUCUGGCGCCUUUAUCGGCAGAGAGCUACUUGUACUCAAAACCUUGCACUCAUUCUCCAAGCCCACGUGGGUAAGAUUCACCCACACUGCGGAGGGCGUCGGAGCUCCACAGCCUGCCUGUCUGUAUGCUCCCAUAGAGGUUUGAGCAGCGGGGCACUGGAGAAGCAAGUCACACCCCCAUUGCACGCCAUGGGAGUAGGACAAGUGGGCUCCUUGAUCAUAAGAAUUAGGUCCUUUAACAGUUUUGGUUGGAAAAUUCUCAGCUAUUGUUUUUUCAUAUUUGCUUUCUCUUAUUUUCGCCUUAUGAAUUCCAAGUAGAUAGAUGUUGGAACCUCUCAUACCGUCUUUCAUGUGUCUUAAACUCUUUUUACCAUAUUUAUCUUUUGGUAUCUGUGCUUAUGUUAAAAUGUAUCCACAGGAUUUUAAUGUGUAGAGGUGACAGAGUGAGGACAUGGAGCAGUCAGUGCCACUGGGAAGAAAAGUUUAUUACUCAGUUUCCUAGAAGUGAGAGGCAUUGCUUGCUAUGCAGAAACACAUGGGGCAGCCCCAGAGCUGGUCAGGAGGCAGGGUAGGAGUGAAAGAGAAGCACAGGCCAUAGCCGUUUUUGGAGUUUCUGUGGGAAAGUCAAGGCAGGGCACUUCAAUGUGCCCACAAGGCUGCAGACUGCCUAAGUACUGUAUCUGAAGCUCAGUGGUUUCGAUGGUAUCUUUAGAGCCCAAAUUGAUUGAAUACUCACUCUCAAUAAAAUAGGAAUAAAAAUUUGCCUUGUAAAUUUGUUGUAAAAAUAAUGCCUGAUGCGAAGUGCUUAUUAAGUAGCACUUGCUAUUAUUAUUCAGCAUUCUUCAGACUAGAACAUAGUAAAAAAUUUUUUUUAUUAUACUUUAAGUUCCAGGGUACAUGUUCACAAUGUGCAGGUUUGUUACAUAUGUAUACAUGUGCUGCACCAGUUAACUCAUCACUUGUUGGUGUGCUGCAUCCAUUAACUCGUCAUUUACAUUAGGUAUUUCUCCUAAUGCUUUCCCUUCCCCCGCCACCAACCCCCAAUGAUUAGGCUUUGAUAUAUCGAUCAGAAAAAAUAAACGGGUUGAAUAUCUAGUAGAUAUAAAUUACUUUACUUUGAACAAAUAGAGAACAUACUUUCUGUUUGAACACACAUAGAACACAAAAAUUGACCACAUACUACAUUACCAAGAAAGUAAACCUUAACAACUUUUAGAUAACCAGGGUCAUACAUGGUAUAUACUUUGACCAUACAUGUAGUGAAAUUAAAAAAAAAUUGAAAACCCAAAGAAAAGGGGCUGGGCGGGCCGGCCCAGGGCCUGCCUAUGGCCUGAAAGAGAAAACCUGCCACGGAGCCCGGGCUUCUCUGAUCCUCCCGCCAAACUUUGUCUCUCAUUUAGCUUUCUUUGUGUCUGAGGAUUUAGCAAAGGCCUCAGGGAUUCAACAGAGUUGGAUUGCUGAGAAUAAAAUUACGGAUUUCUC
rnacentral:lncRNA from 1 species